UACGGAGGGGGUUAGCGUUGUUCGGAAUUACUGGGCGUAAAGCGUACGUAGGCGGAUCAGAAAGUUGGGGGUGAAAUCCCAGGGCUCAACCCUGGAACUGCCUCCAAAACUAUUGGUCUAGAGUUCGAGAGAGGUAAGUGGAAUUCCGAGUGUAGAGGUGAAAUUCGUAGAUAUUCGGAGGAACACCAGUGGCGAAGGCGGCUUACUGGCUCGAUACUGACGCUGAGGUACGAAAGUGUGGGGAGCAAACAGG
rnacentral:rRNA from 1 species